rnacentral:misc_RNA from 1 species
AAUCAUCAAAACCCUUCUUCUUUGGAGAAGGAUUUUGGACUUGGAGGAUUUAUGCUCGCUUUCAGCAUUGAAAGUGGGCUCCUCUCAAAUGAAUUAGUGGGGUUUGCUUUGUCGAUCCUUGACGUGAUAAGAUGUUUUUACGUUUUUGAUUUGGCAUCGUGCCCGCUUCCAACCGUCCUCGUGGACGACGAUGGUGCUUUGGUCACCGCCAUGCGCGGGAGGCUGGACCCACAAUAAA